CAACUUCCAGAAGAGAGAGAUCACCAGUGAGCGGGUCCCAGGAGGCUCUACCCGGACACCUCCUCAGCCCCGCAGCCAAGAUGCUGAACCCUCAGAUGACACGACGGAGCGGGUGGUUAACACACGCCACGGCUCUUGCAGGGAACGCCACCCAAAUGAGCCACAGACUAGAGAAAAGUGGAGAUGCUCGGGGGCGCGGCAGCUCGGCUCCCGUGGCUGCCAGAACCUGGGCUCCAGCUGACGAAACCAGGGGAGCUGCCUGUUGUCAGGAAUCUAAGAGCACAGGGCACCGGGGGGGGCCUCUGGAUUUCAGCUCAGGUCGUGAUCUCCCGGUUCGCGGGAUGAAGCCCCGCGGUGGGCUCUGUGCUGACAGCGUGGAGCCUGCCUGGGAUUCUCUCUCUCAAACUUAAAAAGACACCCGAAGGAAGCCUACGCUCUCAACCCAAGAACGUCAGGCCACGCGAGGGCCGGGCUGAGCGUCUCUCUGAAGCCCCGAGACGGUGGUCUGGCGGAACAACGGGAAACUGAGGUGGGGGACCACAGGCAACUAGGGGUCACCUUGUGCCAACGCGGAACCAGAGUGAACCCACACCCGCGUUCCCUCCCGGCAGGCACAGGCAGGGAAGCCUGCCCUCCUACGUUCUGCUGGGUUCUAUUCGCCCCUCCCCCCAUUUCUCCCACAUGACAAGAACUGGGUCCCCGGUCACCGCGUCAGCCCCGGGAGCGCCCUGAGCAGACGCCGUGCCUACCAGCGCAGAGGUCAGGACUAGGGGGCACUCAGUCUGGCACGCGGUCAAGACCAGGUCUGCUGUCAGGGAGGGGUCUCCACUUUGUGAACAAGCAUUGAGGAGCCCCUGGAGGAGAGAACAUGCCAGAAGCUCAGCGGU